ACAGAGAGAGAGAUAUCAUUUAUUAUCCACUUUUUAAGCAACAUCAUUCGCUUUAGAAAAGAAAGGACAAUUUUACCUAAACAAUGACUGGAGCAAAUUUUAUUUAAUAUUUUUCUUAAAUUAAAAUGAAGAACUUGAAAAUACAUACAAACCAAUCUGUAGAUGUAUGCAUUAGCAGAAACUUUAAUCCAAGACUUGCAAUGCAUCCAAGUUAGACAUUUAGAAUAAUCACAUGUUCUAUGCACUGCAAAUACUAAUUCAAAGCCCAACCUGGACAAAGCAUUAUGCAUUUAAACGUGUAGAUUUGUUAUACAAGAAAUAUAUUUUUUUACUAAAUAAAAGACUAAACAUACAUGAACAUAUUUGCUAAAAAAACUCCUACUAACUGCAAGUUUGUUUCAGUAAGACCUUUCUUUCAAUUCAGACAGAAAGUUUAGAUUUCAAAACGUUAAAAGCAUUUGCAUUCUGCUGACAUCCACUGGUCGCAAUGGUGCGACUCACUUUCUAAAAUGGUCGCACCAAUUUAUAAUUUGGUGGCACCCGCUUUAUAGUUAUCAUAAUGAACCUGACCAUACCAUAAUGAACUUCUUUCAAGUUAUAUAUUGGCUAUGACAUGAUCCGACACAAAUAUAACCCGUCACUCUUCACAAUCCUCCUUUGUUGCCCUCUUUGCAAAAAGCUGCGAUCAUUUGCCAGACCUUGUUUUAAAAUUACAGUCUUUUACCACAUUAAAUUAAAUUAGAUAGCUUAAAACUCAAAAGUAACUCAGAACUAAAUGAUUAUAUAUGUACUACUAUAUGUAUGUGUAGUACUAUAUGUACUACACAUUGUCAUAGAUAAACUUUAAACACUUAAUCUUACUAAUCUUACAGUCUUGUUAAAUGGUCCAAGCACGCUUGUUUUCUGGGGUGUUUCUUCAAUCUAGAGCCCUGCAUCCACAAUGGCUUGCUUCUCUAGUGAAUGCAGCUUUGAUUAACAUCUGUAUGUAGGUCAAGUUCAACAUGUAAAUGCUUGUGUGUAUGCAAAGGGGCAACUCACAGAGGUGGGCUCAAACUAUGUUGGGAGGUUAGACCUGGAGCAUAACCAGAAUCACCAGUUAGUGUGUAAACUACAUACAAUUCUAAUGUUAGUCUAUUUUACCAAUCCUCAACAAACAAGAUGCCUUCUGCCAGUUGUUACAAGAGAUUAAACUCUGACAAACACCUAAAUCCUUAUAAUCUGAAAUUCUUCCAAGAGAUUUCCUGGUGUUGACAGGGAAACACUGAAUGUUGACAACCUGUUAAACUUUCUGACCUAAGCAAUGGACUGUGAAUCCCUCUGUUGUAAACACAGUUUCUCAGAAGGUCUAUUUUCUGUGCAGCUUUUCAAAGGGCCGCCCUACAAACAGGGAGCAGCAGUGAACUUUGGCCCAUAUACGGAGUCCUCUGGUUUGUUGCUGCUAAGGUUCUCCUACUCACUCUCUGGUUGGCCAAAGAACAGAAUGAUAACAAGGAAAAACCCAGCUGCCCCUCCCACCAAAACAUUCUGUUGAGUCUUUUUGCACUAGAAAUUGUCUAUGAAUAUUUAUGAAAAUAUUGUAAUUCACAGUUAUUCAAAGAAUUCUACACUCAAACAUCUGCUACAUGAAAAGAUUUGAUUCUGAAUAAAAAGAGAAGUAUUGCAGAAGAAGGGAAACAAAGUCUUUUUGAAGCACUUCCUUCUAAAUGCAAGCCUUAUUUAGCAAAUGUCCACGUUCCACCAAAGUGAAGUCCCCUGGUCAACGAUUGGUUCAGUUUUAAAGGGAAAUUUACGGUUUGCACUUCAGGUUUACACAGCGGUGUUCAAAGGACACAAAAUUUCCGGGGGCAAAGUGAAAAAAGACUUGGCUAGAAUAACCAGCACCAUUUAAAUGGGAAAUAAACCAAACUGUCUACUCGAAAGAUUCAAAAUGAUACGGUCAUCUGACUAAACCUGCUAAGUGAUAACAGAAUUGCUUGCUGUCCAUAGACAAAAGGCAAAUAUGCUAAACCAACUGUUAUAUAAAUAUUAAGAUAAUUGACAGGAGCAGUGUCCGUUAGCAUGACACACAACAUGUCAUUUAAAUUAUUAUUUUUAUUAUAUUAAAUACAUAUUUGCUACAUUGUAUUGUUAGUAUUAAACAUGCAGUUUUUAUGACCUCUGAUUAACGUAAGACAAUUGUGGGACAAUAUAAGAAUACAAAUAAAAGGAUUUUUAAAUGUAUAUUCAUGCACAUUCAUGCCUGUGUUGUUAGUCAACUACUCAGCUUCAAUUACUCAUUUGCUUGGAGAAAAAUAAUGUGUGACAGAGAAAUUAUUUGAAACCUCCAGCUUUUGUACAAUAUAUGAACAUGAUAAUUUUGUAAAGACUGUCGGCAUCACAGUAUCAUUGAUUUGUUCAUUAAAAUGUCCAGCUACUUCAAGAGAUGUAUCGAGUCAUCAAGAAGUCAUCAAUUCUUCACCCACGCUCAUUUUGUUCAAAACAUGACUUUCUUCGGUAGGACACAAAAUUAAUUUUCAGAAAUAUCUUGGGUGUUUUGUGUUCAUAAUGGAAGUCAAUAGCAGUCAGUGUUGUUUAGGUACAAAUGUUCUUCAAAACAGCUUAUUACAGAAGCAAAUCAAACAGUUUUAAAACAAUACGAGGGUAAAAUGACGAAAGCAAUUUGAUUUUGGGUGAACUAUUCCUUUAACAAGCUACUGAAGUCGACCUACUCUGAUAUGAAAGACAGGAAUGAAUGAGCUCUUUCUCACCAAGUUUGCAAGCUUUUUAAACUCACUGACCAGACGCAUAUGACCCCUGUGAGUAUUUUUCCUCAAUAAACACACAUGCUCCUAUUAGUAGCGUUUUAUAAUACCUUAUAUCACCAUUCUGAGUUAAGAGUCAGCAAAUGACCUUGAGAGAUAUAAGCCUGUUAAUCAAUGCUAUGGUUUGUAUCGCUAUUAAAGAGACAUGAAAUGUGCAUCUGAAGCACCUCUAGAAGAAAAGAUCAGCGGGGGCCAUUCAGGAAUGAGAAUGGGGUCCAAAAAUAGCUGUAGUAUGAUACGAAAGUGAUCCCUAUCAAACAACCAGCCACUAUCACAGGAGUCUUGCUGACAGUUGAAAACAAAAGGUCUCUUGUUUUGCUACAGGAAACGACAUUCGGGUUCGUAUUGAACUUUUAUUUCGUCAUUCUUGUCUGAGGAGGAGGCAAAAUGUGAUAGGUGAGAAGCAUCAAGGAAAGAACACUUCCUGAAACACAGAACCAUGCUUAAGACCACAAAUGGUUGAGACAACACCAGAGGAGACGGUGUAUGAACUUGCACUAGGAUCGAGCUCACGUUGGAAAAUGUUGGUUUCUGAUAGAGUUUAGAAAGGAAGGCAUGCAGGGAUUUGUCCCCUUCAGGAUAAUGAAGGCUAUAUGACCAGGCCGUCAGAAGAACCUGCUUUAGCUGACCAGCAGAGAGGGAUGACUGACUAUCAUGGAUUCAAGGAUUGCGCAAUCCAGUUUGGUACAGAGAACCCAACAACAAUGAAAACAAAUGUUAUUUAUGUUUAACAUAUUAGUCUCAUAGCCUAUACGAUGCCUGUGGAUACCCUGUAAAAAAAUAAAAUGA